GGAAGCGUGGCCGAGUGGCUGAAGGCACCGGUCUUGAAAACCGGCAACGGGAAACUGUUCUAGAGUUCGAAUCUCUACGCUUCCACCA
rnacentral:tRNA from 1 species